AGCGAACGCUGGCGGUAGGCCUAACACAUGCAAGUCGAACGGCAGCACAGUAAGAGCUUGCUCUUACGGGUGGCGAGUGGCGGACGGGUGAGGAAUACAUCGGAAUCUACUUUUUCGUGGGGGAUAACGUAGGGAAACUUACGCUAAUACCGCAUACGACCUACGGGUGAAAGCAGGGGAUCUUCGGACCUUGCGCGAUUGAAUGAGCCGAUGUCGGAUUAGCUAGUUGGCGGGGGAAAGGCCCACCAAGGCGACGAUCCGUAGCUGGUCUGAGAGGAUGAUCAGCCACACUGGAACUGAGACACGGUCCAGACUCCUACGGGAGGCAGCAGUGGGGAAUAUUGGACAAUGGGCGCAAGCCUGAUCCAGCCAUACCGCGUGGGUGAAGAAGGCCUUCGGGUUGUAAAGCCCUUUUGUUGGGAAAGAAAAGCAGCAGGUUAAUACCCCGCUGUUCUGACGGUACCCAAAGAAUAAGCACCGGCUAACUUCGUG
rnacentral:rRNA from 1 species